rnacentral:rRNA from 1 species
GACGAACGCUGGCGGCGUGCUUAACACAUGCAAGUCGAGCGGUAAGGCUCCUUCGGGAGUACACGAGCGGCGAACGGGUGAGUAACACGUGAGCAAUCUGCCCUUCACAUCGGGAUAAGCACCGGAAACGGUGUCUAAUACCGAAUACGACCACUUCCGGCAUCGGAUGGUGGUGGAAAGUUCCGGCGGUGAAGGAUGAGCUCGCGGCCUAUCAGCUUGUUGGUGAGGUAACGGCUCACCAAGGCUUCGACGGGUAGCCGGCCUGAGAGGGUGACCGGCCACACUGGGACUGAGACACGGCCCAGACUCCUACGGGAGGCAGCAGUGGGGAAUAUUGGACAAUGGGCGAAAGCCUGAUCCAGCAACGCCGCGUGAGGGAUGACUGCCUUCGGGUUGUAAACCUCUUUCAGCAGGGACGAAGCGCAAGUGACGGUACCUGCAGAAGAAGCACCGGCCAACUACGUGCCAGCAGCCGCAGUAAAAC